rnacentral:piRNA from 1 species
UAGUUUCUUGGAGCGAGCCGCAAA